CAGGCUUAGAGGAAAUAAAGGAAAUAUCCCAGGAGCAAAAACAAAACACACACAAGCAUGCUCUCACGAGUCACUGGCAUCUCAGCUGAAAAGUCAGUUCCACACCUGUGGGACCUGUGGGCCUGUUUCCGAGCUCUGUUCUGUCUCUUUGAUCUGAGUGUCUAUCUGAGGCCAAUACCACAGUACCAAACGUGGUUGCUUUACAGGAAGUCUUGAAAUCAGAUGGGGGAGCAUAACUCUGGCAUGUCAGUCCUCCAUUUCCUGAGGCUUCUUCAGGCGUUCCUGUGUGGUCCACCCUGGAGAACGGCUCCCUCUCCUCUCAAGAGGAACGUGGCUGCGGCUGUGCGUGGACCGUUUGGCAGAGGCCCGUCUGCUGGAUCCACUGGUUCAAAGGGUUUGUUCCCGUCUGCUUGUUGAUCUUCUACCUAGUGGCUCCAUCACUCAUUCAAGCCCCCCCAUGUCCCUUUUGGGUAUUGUUUACAUGGUGUGUCUCUUUCCACCUUUCCCCGUUGGACUCUGACGCGUCUCUGCUGUGGGAGCCCAUCGCGCUCUGGCGUUUCUGUUGCGGGAAGCCCAUGGCGGCUCUGGCGUCUCUGCUGUGGGAGCCCAUCGCGCUCUGGCGUUUCAGUUGCGGGAAGCCCACGGCGGCUCUGGCGUCUCUGCUGUGGGAGCCCAUCGCGCUCUGGCGUUUCAGUUGCGGGAAGCCCAUCGCGGCUCUGGCGUCUCUCUCUGCUGUGGGAAGCCCAUGGCGGCUCUGGCGGCUCUCUCUGCUGUGGGAACCCAUGGCGGCUCUG